UGCUAAGACUGGAUAGGAAACAAGAAGGCAUCUUUUUGUUUUUAAAAGACCUCCUAAAAAAAGGUAUGCUUAAAGAGGGGCUUGCGCCACAUUAGUUUGUUGGUAAGGUAAUGGCUUACCAAGACUAUGAUGUGUAGCUGGACUGAGAGGUUGAACAGCCACAUUGGGACUGAGACACGGCCCAAACUCCUACGGGAGGCAGCAGUAGGGAAUUUUCGGCAAUGGAGGAAACUCUGACCGAGCAAUGCCGCGUGAACGAUGAAGUAUUUCGGUAUGUAAAGUUCUUUUAUUGAAGAAGAAAAAUAGUGGAAAAACUAUCUUGACGCUAUUCAAUGAAUAAGCCCCGGCUAACUAUGUGCCAGCAGCCGCGGUAAGACAUAGGGGGCGAGCGUUAUCCGGAAUUAUUGGGCGUAAAGGGUGCGUAGGCGGUUAGUUAAGUCUAUAAUUUAAUUUCAACGCUUAACGUUGUUUUGUUAUAGAAACUGCCUAACUAGAGUGAGAUAGAGGCAAGUGGAAUUCCAUGUGUAGCGGUAAAAUGUGUAAAUAUAUGGAGGAACACCAGAAGCGUAGGCGGCUUGCUGGGUCUUUACUGACGCUGAGGCACGAAAGCGUGGGUAGCAAACAGGAUUAGAUACCCUGGUAGUCCACGCCGUAAACGAUGAGUACUAAGUGUCAGGGUAAAACUUGGUACUGAAGUUAACACAUUAAGUACUCCGCCUGAGUAGUACGUACGCAAGUAUGAAACUUAAAGGAAUUGACGGAACUCCGCACAAGCGGUGGAUCAUGUUGUUUAAUUCGAAGAUACACGAAAAACCUUACCAGGUCUUGACAUACUCUGCAAAGUUAUAGAAAUAUAAUGGAGGUUAUCAGGGAUACAGGUGGUGCAUGGUUGUCGUCAGCUCGUGUCGUGAGAUGUUAGGUUAAGUCCUAAAACGAGCGCAACCCUUGUCGUUAGUUACCAGCACGUAAAGGUGGGGACUUUAGCAGGACUGCCAAUUAAAAUUGGGAGGAAGGUGAGG
rnacentral:rRNA from 1 species